UUGCCCGAUGAUUAUAAAAAGACGCGAAAGAGGACUUAAGCUGGAUGCUUUCCUUUUUUCUCUUUUCUCUUCUCUACUCUUUCUUUGACUCUUUAUCUACUUUUCCUCUUUUUCUCUUGCUUCUUUUUCUCUCUUUGGAUGUCCAGCGUCCUAUGAGCGAAGAUUAUGAGAUAUGAGGGCAA